AUUGAACGCUGGCGGCAUGCUUUACACAUGCAAGUCGAACGGCAGCACGGGCUUCGGCCUGGUGGCGAGUGGCGAACGGGUGAGUAAUAUAUCGGAACGUACCCAGAAGUGGGGGAUAACGUAGCGAAAGUUACGCUAAUACCGCAUACGAUCUAUGGAUGAAAGCAGGGGACCGCAAGGCCUUGUGCUCCUGGAGCGGCCGAUAUCUGAUUAGCUAGUUGGUGAGGUAAAGGCUCACCAAGGCGACGAUCAGUAGCUGGUCUGAGAGGACGACCAGCCACACUGGAACUGAGACACGGUCCAGACUCCUACGGGAGGCAGCAGUGGGGAAUUUUGGACAAUGGGCGCAAGCCUGAUCCAGCAAUGCCGCGUGAGUGAAGAAGGCCUUCGGGUUGUAAAGCUCUUUUGUCAGGGAAGAAACGGUAGAGGCUAAUAUCCUUUGCUAAUGACGGUACCUGAGAAUAAGCACCGGCUAACUACGUG
rnacentral:rRNA from 1 species